UACGUAGGGUGCGAGCGUUGUCCGGAAUUACUGGGCGUAAAGAGCUCGUAGGUGGUUUGUCGCGUUGUUCGUGAAAACUCACAACUCAAUUGUGGGCGUGCGGGCGAUACGGGCAGACUGGAGUACUGCAGGGGGAGACUGGAAUUCCUGGUGUAGCGGUAGGAAUGCGCAGAUAUCAGGAGGAACACCGGUGGCGAAGGCGGGUCUCUGGGCAGUAACUGACGCUGAGGAGCGAAAGCGUGGGGAGCGAACAGG
rnacentral:rRNA from 1 species